GACGAACGCUGUCGGCGUGCCUAAUACAUGCAAGUAGAACGCUGAAGGAGGAGCUUGCUUCUCCGGAUGAGUUGCGAACGGGUGAGUAACGCGUAGGUAACCUGCCUGGUAGCGGGGGAUAACUAUUGGAAACGAUAGCUAAUACCGCAUAAGAGUAGAUGUUGCAUGACAUUUGCUUAAAAGGUGCAAUUGCAUCACUACCAGAUGGACCUGCGUUGUAUUAGCUAGUUGGUGGGGUAACGGCUUACCAAGGCGACGAUACAUAGCCGACCUGAGAGGGUGAUCGGCCACACUGGGACUGAGACACGGCCCAGACUCCUACGGGAGGCAGCAGUAGGGAAUCUUCGGCAAUGGACGGAAGUCUGACCGAGCAACGCCGCGUGAGUGAAGAAGGUUUUCGGAUCGUAAAGCUCUGUUGUAAGAGAAGAACGAGUGUGAGAGUGGAAAGUUCACACUGUGACGGUAUCUUACCAGAAAGGGACGGCUAACUACGUG
rnacentral:rRNA from 1 species